UACGUAGGGUGCGAGCGUUAAUCGGAAUUACUGGGCGUAAAGUGUGCGCAGGCGGCGUUGCAAGUCGAGUGUGAAAGCCCCGGGCUUAACUUGGGAAUUGCGCUCGAAACUACGAUGCUGGAGUAUGGCAGAGGAAGGUGGAAUUCCACGUGUAGCGGUGAAAUGCGUAGAGAUGUGGAGGAACACCGAUGGCGAAGGCAGCCUUCUGGGCCAAUACUGACGCUCAUGCACGAAAGCGUGGGGAGCAAACAGG
rnacentral:rRNA from 1 species